GUAAGUGAAUAGAGUGAAUAAAAGCACAUUUGAGAACCUUUGUAACAAACGAUUGAGUUUCCGCUUUUAUUGUGAAGGUACCGCCGCGCUCUUUCCCGCUCUGGUCUCGGCAGCGUGCGGCCGCCUUGACGCAGGUCUGAAGUGCCCCGGAGCCUCCGCUCCUCCAGCAGCCCCAGCCGAGCACCACACAGCCUCGACGGCGUCAGCCUGGCUGGAACCGCAGCGCCUGCCUAGCUGCAGUUGUGUCAUUAUCUCCUGCUGGAGCCAGUGCCACACAGUCAGAUCUUUCCUCAUUGCGGAUGGACACGAUCCUUCAUUGGGAGUGCCGUGACUGGUCCAGUUAAUGACGCAAGCCCGGCUGGCGACAGUGGAUCAUCAGAAUGCAGCACCGCCGAGAUAAGCUGCCGGUGUGCCACAAAUAGGUGGUGGUCGUAUCAAAGCCAGUGAUUUCCAAAGUGUGGUCCGGGGACCUGCAGGGAGGACGCGAGGAUUUCAGUUGAACUGAACUGUUUGUUCAAGCUUUAGAAGUCAGCGUAACAAUCAAACAGCCAAAUAAUGACUGAUAAUAAUGAAUUAUUCAUGUGGUUUACUGUCACAUCCACCUGAAAACUGUCAUGUCAUGUUUCACAUGAGGAAGGGGACAGGAAGAGCAGAGCAGCCACAUUCUGAUUCACUGGCUCUGUGUCUUGUCUGGCUGCAGACAGACAGACAGACAGACAGGCAGGCAGGGCACAAACAGGAUGCGCUCCCUGGAGCUCUGGGAGGCCCCAGAGACAUUCACAUCAGCACGAACCCUAGACCUCAGGCUUGCAUAAGAAGACAGCACUAUGAAGAACUUCAUUUACCCAGACCACAAAAAAACAUGCCUGCUGGCCUCUUUUCAAGAUGAUGUGUCCACACGAGGACGCACAAAAAAAAAAGGAUGACUGAUGCAGAGUUCAUGUCGAGGAAAGGCAGAGUUCACGAUAACACAGCCCCCUACUCAUUACCCCUGUCAUACAGGUUCAUACAGCUAACUUCAGGAUGAAGGAUUUGGAUUUCAGCUGUUAAAUUGAGUUUUAUACCAAAUGAAAUAAACUAAGUGGAGUCAGAUCCUGCAGAUUUCUAGUAAUAAUACUAUUUGACAGACAUAUUUGGAUCCACAGAGGCCCUGGUCCUCAGAUUAGCAACUGGUAACCUAAGACGGAAGCAGGCACACAUAGUCACAGUGUGUGUUGAGACUCGGUGAAGGUUUGCAGCGAGUUAUCGAGCAGAAAGAUGACAUGAGCAGGGCGAGGCUUUGUGUGUGAAGAGACAGGAAGCUGACUGAUGGAAGACAAAAGUUUCAAAAUGUAUCAGAGUAUUCAGCCAGUGUUCCACCAGCUCCACAUUCUGCACUGCUUUCUUUCAGAAACACGUCAGAUCUUCUCCAGCUCAUCUUCAGAGCUCUGCAGCAAACACAAAAUGCAGAUCACACAAUAAACCAGCUUAAGUCAAUCUAUAUUCGGCUUCCUGUUACAUUGUGAUUGAUUUCAAAAUGAUCAUACAGGGCAUUACAUGCUGAUCAUAUGUACCCAUGAAAUGUGGAGCCUCUGCUGUGGUCGCUCCUCGACACAAAGUCCAAAAGAGAAGGAGCAUCAGUUUAUGCUUUGCACACCGCAUCUCAUUGUCUUCUCUGAUCUUUAGUAGUCCUCGUUCUCUCUCCCUCGUGUUCUAAAGGUCCAGUGUGUCACAGUAACACAGCUCUGAUAUCUGCACCACCAGCAGUGUAAAAUCACCUGAGAACCAGAAUCCUCAUGUUUCUGUUGUCUUACAAUGAGACUUUUAUCUCUAUAGAUGCUGCUGGUCUUCCACCACAACAUCCACCAUGUUUACCUGCCAUGUUUCUACAGUAGAGGAAGGAGAGGGUAACGUUAGGCGGGGGCUGCAAUCGGCAACUACAGAUCUAGAUGCUGCUGAAUCCUACACUGUGGUCUCUUCAGCACUCUGUAGCUUGUGUUUUGAAAAGCGCUAAGUAAAGGUUGUUGUUUUUAUACCAAUAAUAGUAAGGGGCGGCACGGUGGUGCAGUGGUGUGAUGUGUGUGGAUGGUUGUUUGUCUCCGUGUGUCAGCCCAGGGUCAGUUUUGUCCAGGGUGUACCCUGCCUUUCGCCCCCAGGCUCCUUCCCUGUGACCAUGGAUGGAUAUUAUAAAUAGUAGGACUGUAACUUAUGAUUGUUUUAUAAAUAAUCUCACAAUAAUAGAUAAUGUGAUUCAACUAUAAAACAUCAUAAAACUGUAGUCCAGAAGAAAAAUAUUCACUUAAAAGCAACAUCAAACCAGAAAAAGCAGCGAAUGACAA